AUUGAACGCUGGCGGCAGGCCUAACACAUGCAAGUCGAACGGUAACAGGAAGAAGCUUGCUUCUUUGCUGACGAGUGGCGGGCGGGUGGGUAAUGUCUGGGCAACUGCCUGAUGGAGGGGGUUAACUACUGGGAACGGUAGCUACUACCGCAUAACGUCGCAAGACCAAGGAGGGUGACCUUCGGGCCUCUUGCCAUCGGAUAUGCCCAGAUGGGAUUAGCUAGUAGGUGGGGUAACGGCUCACCUAGGCGACGAUCCCUAGCUGGUCUGAGAGGAUGACCAGCCACACUGGAACUGAGACACGGUCCAGACUCCUACGGGAGGCAGCAGUGGGGAAUAUUGCACAAUGGGCGCAAGCCUGAUGCAGCCAUGCCGCGUGUAUGAAGAAGGCCUUCGGGUUGUAAAGUACUUUCAGCGGGGAGGAGGGGAGUAAAGUUAAUACCUUUGCUCAUUGACGUUACCCGCAGAAGAAGCACCGGCUAACUCCGUG
rnacentral:rRNA from 1 species